rnacentral:tRNA from 1 species
GGUUCCAUAGUGUAGCAGUUAGCACGUUUGCUUUACACACAGAAGGUCCUGGGUUCGUGCCCCAGUGGAGCCA